UUUCGCCAGAACAUAUUAGCAUGGAAUAAUACUAUAGGAUCUUGGUUCUAUUUUGUUGGUUUCUAGAACUAAGGUAAUGAUUAAUAGGGACAAUUGGGGGCAUUCGUAUCAACGCGUCAGAGGUGGAAUUCUUGGAUUGCGUUGCGACGAACUACUGCGAAAGCAUUUGCCAAGGAUGUUUUCAUUGAUCAAGAACGAAAGUAAGGGGAUCGAAGACGAUUAGAUACCGUCGUAGUCUUUACCAUAAACUAUGCCAACUAGAGAUGGGACAUCGUCUACUUACGACUUGUUCCGCACCUUAUGAGAUAUCAAAGUCUUUGGGUUCCGGGGGGAGUAUGGUCGCAAGUCUGAAACUUAAAGGAAUUGACGGAAGGGCACCACCAGGAGUGGAGCCUGCGGCUUAAUUUGACUCAACACGGGGAAACUCACCAGGUCCAGACAUAAUAAGGAUUGACAGAUUGAUAGCUCUUUCUUGAUUUUAUGGGUGGUGGUGCAUGGCCGUUCUUAGUUCGUAGAGUGAUUUGUCUGCUUAAUUGCGUUAACGAACGAGACCUUAACCUGCUAAAUAGGAGCGCAUAUCUUCGGAUAAGCGCCUUUCUUCUUAGAGGGACUUUAUGCGUUUCAGCAUGAGGAAGUUUGAGGCUAAAACAGGUCUGUGAUGCCCUUCGAUGUUCUGGGCUGCACGCGCGCUACACUGAUGCGUUCAACGAGUGUACAACCUUGCCCGAUAGGGUUGGGUAACCUUUUGAACACGCAUCGUGAUGGGGAUAGAUUAUUGCAAUUAUUAAUCUUCAACGAGGAAUUCCUAGUAAUGAUGGUUCAUCAGACCGUCGUGAUUACGUCCCUGCCCUUUGUACACACCGCCCGUCGCUCCUACCGAUUGAGCAAUCCGGUGAAUAUUUCGGACCGGACCCUGUCGGGGCAGCUCGUUCAGGGACUGGAAAGUCAAGUUAACCUUAUUGCUUAGAGGAAGGAGAAGUCGUAACAAGGUUUCCGUAG
rnacentral:rRNA from 1 species